CUUAGCAGAGAUGCUUUGGUGCCUUCGGGAACUCUGAGACAGGUGCUGCAUGGCUGUCGUCAGCUCGUGUUGUGAAAUGUUGGGUUAAGUCCCGCAACGAGCGCAACCCUUAUCCUUUGUUGCCAGCGGGUUAUGCCCGGGGAACUCAAAGGAGACUGCCAGUGAUAAACUGGAGGAAGGUGGGGAUGACGUCAAGUCAUCAUGGCCCUUACGAGUAGGGCUACACACGUGCUACAAUGGCGCAUACAAAGAGAAGCGACCUCGCGAGAGCAAGCGGACCUCAUAAAGUGCGUCGUAGUCCGGAUUGGAGUCUGCAACUCGACUCCAUGAAGUCGGAAUCGCUAGUAAUCGUAGAUCAGAAUGCUACGGUGAAUACGUUCCCGGGCCUUGUACACACCGCCCGUCACACCAUGGGAGUGGGUUGCAAAAGAAGUAGGUAGCUUAACCUUCGGGAGGGCGCUUACCACUUUGUGAUUCAUGACUGGGGUGAAGUCGUAACAAGGUAAGCGUAGUGCU
rnacentral:rRNA from 1 species